AUUUUAAAAGAGGUAUUAAGUCUAAUUUUUUUAAAUAUACAUACAAAUUUUGGGGGCGGGGGAGAUACAUUAUGGUAUUAAACAAAGUAUCAUUUAUGUCUUCACCUUAAUUUAUGUAAAUUACAUACUGUAAUCUAAUCAAGAAUCCUGGCUGGGCUUUAGUAAACAAGCCACUAUUUAUAAACACAUUAAGGGUGAAAAACCCAACAAGCAUAGCUAGAACUUUCAUAGAGUGUUCUCUCUCAUAUAAAUUCUUAAUGGACUAUAAAGGACUUUUUAAGUGGUUUUAGAUUUGAAUUCAAUUGCUCAAAUGGGAAUAAACUAGUCAUAUUUACAAUCGUGGUGUUUAUUCAUUAUAAACCUAAACAUGAGAUCAGAAAGAAAUGGGAGCUUGUAGAACAAAAACAAACAAAACCGUAACAUUACUUGACCGUAGAGGUUUGUUCCAUCCACAUCACCUAUUCACAGAGAUUAAAAGUAUCCAGUUUGAACAUUCAUAAUUUGCUAACAAACUAGAGUGAUUUAUGUUGCUCUGAGCACAUCUAAAAAUUACAUAAGACAAGAAAACAAUGAGUUUUAAAACUCAUAAUUAUGAUCAAGAAAAUGGAAAAUUAUUAUCACUGAAUUUCAAAUACAGCAAUGAUCAUGUACUGGACACCGUUCUCUGUAUGUAUCAAAUCACUUAAUCAUCACAACACCCUUGUGCUACAUGAAUUCCAUACACAGGGUUUGUUUUUGCCUACACCACCCACCAUCACUACCCCACCAACCUGGGAAGCUGAGGUGGGAGGAUCACUUGAACCUGGGAGUUCGAGGCUGGAGUAAGCCAUGAUUGCAAAACUGCACUCCAGCCUAGAAGGGCUAGUGUGGAGAGGAAAAGACUCCAUGGUAGAAUAAAGAAGGCCAGGGGGAUGUGGAGGAAGGUGAGUACCUUUGGAGGGCUGGCCUUUCCAGGCAAUGGCCACAGCUGGCUGCUAACCCUAAAGGUUCUGGAAAAUCACUGAAGGCUUGAAAAGGUUUUAAGGUGGCAGGGAGCAGGGAUGGGGAUCAGAUUUGUAUUAUUAUGCACACAUACAAAUGAACUUUUAAAAAAAGAAGAUAUUCUCUUUUUUUAUAAAAUCGUAUUUCCUUUGUAUUAAUCUUAAAUCAUAUAGCUAAUUCCUGCCUUAAAAUGAAGGUGUCUGACAAAAUACAGAGAUUCUCAACUGGUUCUUAAUAAUUAUUUUUAAAAUUUCUGGGUAGGGGUCUUCAUUUGACCUAAAAUAUUUCAUGUGCCACUUUUAGAGGGAAAGUAUGAGAGACAUAUAAUUAAACUAUUUAAUAGGUCAAAAGUUCAAAAAUCACCAUUCUGUAGGUGCUAUAAAAAGUCACCAGCCUCUCUCAGAAAAUAAAUUGGUUAGACAUUUUGCAGUCGAUCCCAUAACUGCUCCUCUGCUUUCUGCCCAACUAGAGGGUCCCCAUCCAUCUCAUUCAGACGAAAAGAUAAAAAUGGGAAGCUCCAACCACUGGAAAUUCGUGUCCUCAGAAGUGGUUGGGGACGUUUGGGUUUUCUUCGGUUUCUUCAAUUUGAACAGGCUUUAAAUAUCCCUUAGAGCUUCAAAAGCUCCUA
rnacentral:lncRNA from 10 species